AUUUUUUUUAUUUUCUGAAAUCUAGAAAACAAAAGGAAAUGGACGACCGAUCACGAGGAUCUUCCCCUCUCCCUCUUCAUCUUCUCCGCUUCAAACCCUAGAGACUGAGCUCUGAUCGAUCCACUUCUACGCAAACGAAACUCCUCUUUUAUUUCAUAAAUAAAUUUCGUCUUUAUGUUUUCGUUUCAUCUCCCUAGCUAUUUUCCUUUCCUUUAUAUACUGAUCCUCUUAUCUUUGUACAAACACAAACCCUAGAAAUUGCUCAAAUCUCAACCAUGGCGACGAAACCGAAUGGGAAGUCCCCUGUCUCAUCCGCCUCUGAUGAAAAGGUGAUGUUCUUCAGAGAUAUCUCUCUGGGUCCCCACGAAAUUAGCUAAUGCUCAAAUUUCAUUAUCUUAUUUCUCUUCUUGGACUCCAUCUUUGAGCUUGCUUGAUUGAUCAUGAUAAACUAUUGUUUCGUUAAUUUGUUUUUACAUUGUAUCUGAGCGGCAGAGAGUAUGUGAGAGCAAUAGAUAGUGAGAGAGGACAGAAUAAAUGGUGGUGAUGAGAUCAGAGAUUCGUCAUUUUAGAUCGGAGAUUCUCUCAGGUUUGAAGGCAAUUCAGGCGAAGAAGUUCAAGAAGGUAUCUUCUCAUAGAUUCACUUUCCUGUACUGCUUACAAUCAAGGGACUGGACGAGGAACGUCUGUGUUAGAAUUGGUUGCUGCUUUUAAAAAAGCUUCUGGCAAGAAAAUACCUAUCAAGCUUUGUCCGAGAAGGCCAGGAGAUGCAACUGCAGUUUAUGCUUCAACAGAGAGAACUGAGAAAGAACUUGGCUGGAAAUUGUGUUCUCAAUGAACGUAUACAGAUGAAGAAAUGUAGAUCAGUAACUAUUUUAAAAUCUCAGAAGAGUUUGGAGCAUCCUAGGAUGAAAAGAGAAGCAACACCAAGAUACAGAUAGAAAUUUGAUCGUUGUGCUAAAAGAUGCUUACAUAUCUUUGUUUCUUUUUGCUUCGUUUGUUUUCCAUGUUAUCUUCAUUCUAUUUAAUAAAAAAAUUAAAUUUCAGAGAAC